UGGGGAAUAUUGGACAAUGGGCGGAAGCCUGAUCCAGCAAUACCGCGUGUGUGAAGAAGGUCUUCGGAUUGUAAAGCACUUUAAGUUGGGAGGAAGGGCAGUAACCUAAUACGUUGCUGUCUUGACGUUACCGACAGAAUAAGCACCGGCUAACUCUGUGCCAGCAGCCGCGGUAAUACAGAGGGUGCAAGCGUUAAUCGGAAUUACUGGGCGUAAAGCGCGCGUAGGUGGUUAGUUAAGUUGGAUGUGAAAUCCCCGGGCUCAACCUGGGAACUGCAUUCAAAACUGACUGACUAGAGUAUGGUAGAGGGUGGUGGAAUUUCCUGUGUAGCGGUGAAAUGCGUAGAUAUAGGAAGGAACACCAGUGGCGAAGGCGACCACCUGGACUGAUACUGACACUGAGGUGCGAAAGCGUGGGGAGCAAACAGGAUUAGAUACCCCCGUAGUCCCUGAGCGGGCUGGCAAGGCGCAU
rnacentral:rRNA from 1 species